GAGGAUAUAGCUCAGUGGUAGAGUGUGUGCUUAGCAUACACAAGGUCCUGGACUCAAUCCCUAGUACCUCCA
rnacentral:tRNA from 1 species